GAGCGACGCCAAGGGAGAGAACAUCCCAGCUGUGGAAGCACCUGUGGUUGCAGACAGAGUGGGCCUAUAUGAAGUAGCAGCAUCUGUGAUCAUGAGAGGCGGCUCCGGGGAGGGUGUAUCCUGCAUCAUCAGAAAUUCCCUCCUCGGCCUGGAAAAGACAGCCAGCAUUUCCAUCGCAGAGAGCCUCCAGGAGGAACUCAGUAAGUUACCAUUCCCCCAGAGAUCCAGACAUGUCUUCCUAUCCUCGCUUUGAGCACCUUGAUGACUCUUCCCUGUUCAUUCCAUUGCAGAGAGGAAAAAAAUCCAGUACUUGACUCGUGGAGAGGAGUCUUCGUCCGAUACCAAUAAGUCAGCCUGAUGCUCUAAUGGAAAAAUGGCCCUCUUCAAGCCUGGUGAGUAAAU
rnacentral:sRNA from 1 species